GAUGAACGCUGGCGGCGUGCCUAAUACAUGCAAGUCGAGCGAACAGACGAGGAGCUUGCUCCUCUGACGUUAGCGGCGGACGGGUGAGUAACACGUGGAUAACCUACCUAUAAGGCUGGGAUAACUUCGGGAAACCGGAGCUAAUACCGGAUAAUAUAUUGAACCGCAUGGUUCAAUAGUGAAAGACGGUUUUGCUGUCACUUAUAGAUGGAUCCGCGCCGCAUUAGCUAGUUGGUAAGGUAACGGCUUACCAAGGCAACGAUGCGUAGCCGACCUGAGAGGGUGAUCGGCCACACUGGAACUGAGACACGGUCCAGACUCCUACGGGAGGCAGCAGUAGGGAAUCUUCCGCAAUGGGCGAAAGCCUGACGGAGCAACGCCGCGUGAGUGAUGAAGGUCUUCGGAUCGUAAAACUCUGUUAUUAGGGAAGAACAAAUGUGUAAGUAACUAUGCACGUCUUGACGGUACCUAUUCAGAAAGCCACGGCUAUCUACGUG
rnacentral:rRNA from 1 species